CCUACGGGUGGCAGCAGUGAGGAAUAUUGGUCAAUGGGCGGAAGCCUGAACCAGCCAAGUAGCGUGCAGGAUGACGGCCCUACGGGUUGUAAACUGCUUUUAUACGGGAAUAACGCGCCUUACGUGUAUGGCUUUGCAUGUACCGUAUGAAUAAGGACCGGCUAAUCCCGCUCCAGCAGCCGCGGUAAUACGGAAGGUCCGGGGUUGAUCCGGAUUUAUUGGGUUUAACGGGAGCGUAGGCUGCAUGUCCAGCGUGCUGUGAAAUGUCCGGGCUCAACCCGGGCCUUGCAGGGCGAACUGGCGGGCAGAGGGCCGGGGAGGGCAGGCGAAAUUCGUGGGGUAGGGGUAAAAUGGU
rnacentral:rRNA from 1 species